rnacentral:lncRNA from 1 species
GGCUGCACUCACAGCAUAUGGAGGUUCCCAGGCUAGGGGUCCAAUCAGAGCUGUAGCCCCCAGCCUACACCACAGCCACAGCAACGCCAAGAUCCGAGCCACGUCUGCAACCUACACCACAGUGCGUGGCAACGCCAGAUCCUUAACCCACUGAGCAGGCCAGGAAUCAAACUGGCAACCUCAUGGUUCCUCGUCGGAUUUGCUUCCACUGCACCACGACGGGAACUGCUUUUCUGAAAUUUUAAAUGAUUUUUAUUUUUUCCAUUAUGGUUGGUUUACAGAGUUCUGUCAAUAUUCUACUGUACAGCAAAGUGACCCAGUCACACAUACAAAUAUACAUUCUUUUUCUCACAUUAUCCUCCAUCAUGCUCCAUCCUAAGUGACUAGAUAUAGUUCGAAGGGCUACACAGCAGGAUCUCAUUGCUGAUCCAUUCCAAAGGCAAGAGUUUGCAUCUGUUAACCCCAGACUCCCAGUCCACCCCACUCCCUCCCCCUCCCCCUUGGCAACCACAAGUCUGUUCUCCAAGUCCAUGAGUUUCUUUUCUGUGGAAAGGUUCCUUUGUGCCUUAUAUUCGAUUCCAGAUAUAAGUGAUAUCAUAUGGUAUGUGUCUUUCUCUUUCUGACUUACUUCACUCAGGAUGAGAGUCUCUAGUUCCAUCCAUGUUGCCAUUUGCAGUGACUGUUCUGUUACCUCUGUUUUUGUUUUUUGAUCCCACACAGAAGCGAAAUCAAAAAGCAUUUGCCUUUCUCUCUCCGACUUACUUCGACUGGCAUAAUGACUGAAUUUCAGUUUUUAAUGACCUUUCCAUUGUUACUAAGCUACCCGGUCAAGCCAGUUUGGCAUCUGUGGGCUUCCUGCCCGUCCCUCAGCUUUUUGUGGGAACUCAGGUGGGUGAAGCCUCAUCUAACAGAGGAGAAGCAAAGACCCCAGGAGAGGAAGGGAUCUGGCAAGGAGUCCUGGGAGUCCCUGCAGAGGCAGGACGAGAAUCAGGCCUUUGGGGGUUGGGGGAGGGGGGCAGCCCCAGCCCCUUGGGCCUCCCUGACUCGGCCUGUGGGCAGUGUGGCUCUCCUGGCCUUCUCGAAGCCUGAUGUUGUGGUGGGCCUGCUGGACGUAGGGACCUCCUCGUGGGGUCAGCAGAGCCUGGGAGGGGUCCUCUCCCCACUGUAGCCUCAGGUUCUGCUGCUCGGUCCUAAUGCUGCAGUAGGGCCUUAACUUGGUGGUGCUUGCUGGAUGUCACGGGGCUGCACAUCUGGAAUUUAAAUCCUGGAGUGCCCCGUCGCUGUGUCUACACGGGCUGGGCAAUGGGCACCUGAAGGAAAGUGCCUGUGGGGUCCCGGCGGAGACUCAGGAGAAAGAGCACAGAGGGACUGAGCCCCCGAUUCUUGUCCUGCCUCUGCAGGGACUCUCUGUUCUUAACCCGCUGAGCCACAAGGGGAACUCCCUAAGUUGGUUUAUGUCUGUGGGUCUAUUUCUGCUGUGUAUAUAAGUGUAUCUGCAUCUUUUUUUUUUUUAAGAUUUGACAUAUAAGCAGUAUCAUAGGGUAUUUGUCUUUCUCUCUCUGGUUUCCCUCGCUUAGCAUGAUACCCUCUAGGUCCAUCCAUGUUACUACAAGUGGCGUUAAUUCCUUCUUUUCUAUGGCUGAGUGACAGUCCAUAGUGUCGAGGUACCACGGCUUCUUUAUCCUCUCCUCUGCUGAGGGACACUGAGGGUGCGUCCACGUCCUGGCUACUGCAAACCACGCUGCUAAGAACACUGGGUGGAUAAUCCUGAGUCUUUCAAGGCUGCCGGAAUCACCCUAAGGUGGGCAAGGAAGGAAACACACAGCUCUCCUCAUCAGACCACCCUCUCCCUGGAUCAGGCCCCUCGCCGGGGAAGGGAAUUCUGUUCCAUGGGGCGAUGUGCUGGUUUGCGCCAGAGCCUUACACCUGGCGUUUGUCGCCCAUCUGUGAUGACCAUCUCUGCCACUCCGACUGGGAAAGACGGCUGCCCCGAAAUCCAGAAGAAAGACAUCUCCGCCCCGGGGUCAUAAAAAGCCUUUCUCCUGGUGUCAAUUCUCUCUCAUUGCAGACUUCAAAGCAGGCCACACAUGGUUGCGAUGCCUCAAGAACUUGAGGUAUGAAACACCUCCAUUUCAUACAGGCCAGCCCCCGUGAGAAUGACCUCGCAAGUUCAGCCCGCAGCUUCCGAUGCCCUUGAUACUCCUGGAAACCAACCUCUUGCCAUAUGGCAUGUUUUCGGGUGAGAUCAGCCAUAGCAGGCUGCGGGCUGCGGGCUGCAGCAACUUUUCUUCUAAUUCCACCUUUUCUGGAGCCUCACUCAAUAUCCCUCUCAGCUCUACCAUGCCCCGUUCAUGGGUGGCGAAAUCACGGUAGAGUGGUGUGUAACUUGCCUAUGGCGACAAGAGACCAAGGAGCCCUGACCUGGCCUGCUGCGCCUUCCACCAGGCUCUGCCAGCCAGUCGCCUCCUCUCACCCUGCCCCACGAGGCGCUGCAGGCUUGUCUAAGAGCCACACAUCCCCGUUUCUUCUGGAAUAGGGCGUUCAGGGUCCCACACCCAAAAGCGGCCCCCUCAAUUUUCCUUCCUUACAAAAUGGAACCCUGAUGGUCCCACGGCUCCUUUCUUCUGAGAUCAAAGGCCUUCGCAUACUCUCCCAUUCAUUUAUAUAAUCAGUCUAAUAUAUAAAGUGGGCCCAGGGCAUCGUUACCCCUAUUUCAGAAAUGAAACAAAGGGCAGAGAGAAAGAGGAAGGGUACCGCCCCAGGUCCCGUGAACGGCUCUGUCACCCAAGGUCCUACAAACCGUUGGCGUCAAACUCCCGGAGGCCCAAGUCCCUUCCCAUGUCCGGUAUUCUGAUUCACAAACGACACGAGGGAGCGACGAGGGGACAGUUCGGUUACAAGGUCAUCCGAGACGCAGAGAUCACAAGGCCAUGAAAAGCCACUGAGUAUCUGUGUGCUCCCCAGCGCCUGCCUCCCAGGUGGAGGCACCUCGACGUGGCCCGCUGACAACAUCACAGGCCCGAGGAGCAGGCAGGUUCACCUUAUGAGAUUUAUGGCUGCAUCACCACCCCUGGAAGUGAGCGUGCCUUUCUUUCAGGAGUCCACAGAUGUCACCUGAUCCUGAGUCCCCCUGAGGCUGAAAGCAGCAAGCAUUUCACUGGGUCCAUAAUUUGAAAAUGGAAAAGAUCAAGACAAUAUUCUACCCAAACCCACAGAGCAGGUGCCCUGAAGUCUGAGCAUCUGCCACCAUCAGCGUUCUGCCACCAGAUCAUCCAUGGUGGCAAAAAGAUCCAAACCAGCACUUCUCAGGACAGCCCCAAUGUCCUGGGACGCCACAAGUAGAGAACCAGGGGCCAAGGUGGUGGGGGGUGCGCUGGAGCUAAGACUAAGAAACAAUUCAGUCCAUAGGCUAAAGCACCAAGUCUGUAGGCUUUCGUUUCUGGAGGCCUGAGGAGUCCAGGGACUUCAUCACCCCUGGGCACUCAGACCCUGACCUGGACCCCCUUCCCCUUCCAGGUGCCCAGGAGGAUGCUGGGUAAUUCUUGGGCAGUGCCCAGAGUCUGCCCAGGGUCUGGGGGACCAGGAGAGAAGAGCUAAGGUGAGGCAGGCCCUGCAAAGGCAAGGAGAAUUUGGGAAGUUCCCUGGGGCACAGCAGGUUAAGGAUCUGGCAUGGUCACUGUAGCAGCCUGGGUCACUGCUGUGGUACAGGUUCAGUCCCUGGCCCAGGAACUUCCACAUGCCAAGGGCACAGGCAAAAAAAUUUUAAAAGGCAAGGAGAAUUCUUGUUCACCUUUGUAUUCCCAGGACCCAGCAAGGGCUGGUACCCAGACUGCUCAGGGUGAUGCGUGCAGAAAAACAGACGGAGGCAGGGAGAGAACCAGGCUGUCACACAGGACACAGGGCUAUGAGGACAUGGCUUCUCCUGCUUUUUCAGCCUUCACUCUUUCUUCCUGCUUCGCUAAAGAAACAUUUAAUGAGCAGUUACUAUAUGCCAAGAACUGUGCAGGGUCCCAGAUAAAGGGAGGAGGGAUAAAUGGGGACAGAGGGACGAGUAAAUAUUUACUGCCGUCUAUGUGCCAGACACAGCCUUGGGUGCAGACUGAUGCUAACUCCCAGGGAACUCGGUUUGCUUUUAAAAAAACAGAACACUUCGCAGCAAAUCACAGUGAAUACAAGUGAGUCUGGAGGAAGAAGUGGGGAGGGGGGCAUCUCUGGGGGGUGGGGAGACGGGGUGGGGAAGGCUGCGAAGGCGGGGAGGCAGCAACGCCUCGUUCACAGGUACAGAGACAACACCUCUGCGGGGGUGACACCACCAACCGAAAGUCAGACCGAGAAGGAGGUGGGAGGCGAGCAGGUGCGAAUCUGUGUUCCCUUCACUAAGAAGAGGAAAAUGUGUCAGCUUUCCUCACAGGAAAAAAGCUUUCUUUCCUUUUCUUUCUUUCCUUUUUUUUUUUUUUUUUUUUUUUUGCUCUCCCCUGCAGCUUUCGCCUCCACAGAAGCCCAGGCAGGUGAGUCAGACACCGUGUCCCCUGAAAGCACAAGCUCCAGCCCAUGUGCCAUCUCCCCAUCUUUAAACUUCAGGAACCAAUUCAAAGUUGUGACCAACACGGCGUGGGCUGUGGUUUGUCACCUGAAAUCAACACCCAUCCCCUCCAUGAGAGACACAGGUGAGGGGACAGACUCCACAGAGGAGGGGGCGGAGGGGGACAAGAGGGACGAGAGGGUCGAGGUGACAGACAUUUCAGGGGUGUCCUGGAGCCCACUUUCUGUCACGAAGCACGGUGUGGGGAUGGAUAAAGCUGGAGCAGUGCCAGCCAGAACCGAGGGGGCGGUUUGCAGGUGCGGCCCCUGGGCGGUGGUAUCCUGCACACCACAGUGAGGGGACAUGAAGUCUCCAGCCAGUGGCCCCUGCUGCUUGCAUCUCUUGGCCUCAACUUCUUUCCACUACUUCCUAUCUUAACGAAAUCAAACUCACAUACCUCGAACAGGGAGAACACGAUCUAGUGGAAGAUAGUGUGGCCCAGAGGCGACUACACUACACUCUGUGGGUGGAGGCCGGAGGCAGGGCCCUUUCUCACGCGCAGCGCUGGCCCCCGAGGGGAGGCUGCAGAGACAUCACAGUGGGGACCUCAGGGCAGCCCUCCAGAUGUGUCCUCAACAGAGGGGGGAGAAACAAGAUGUCCUGGGUU